UACGUAGGGUGCUAGCGUUGUCCGGAUUUAUUGGGCGUAAAGGGCUCGUAGGCGGCGUGUCACGUCGGGAGUGAAAGCCCGCUGCUUAACGGCGGGUUGGCUUCCGGUACGGGCAUCGCUGGAGUGCGGCAGGGGAGACUGGAAUUCCUGGUGUAGCGGUGGAAUGCGCAGAUAUCAGGAGGAACACCUGCGGUGUAGACGGCUUUCUGGACCAUUGUUGACGCUGAGACACGAAAGCGUGGGUAGCAAACAGG
rnacentral:rRNA from 1 species